GACGAACGCUGGCGGCGUGCCUAACACAUGCAAGUCGAGCGAAUGAAGUUCCUUCGGGAACGGAUUUAGCGGCGGACGGGUGAGUAACACGUGGGCAACCUGCCUCAUAGAGGGGAAUAGCCUUCCGAAAGGGAGAUUAAUACCGCAUAAGAUUGUAGUACCGCAUGGUACAGCAAUUAAAGGAGUAAUCCGCUAUGAGAUGGGCCCCGCGGCGCAUUAGCUAGUUGGUGAGGUAACGGCUCACCAAGGCGACGAUGCGUAGCCGACCUGAGAGGGUGAUCGGCCACAUUGGGACUGAGACACGGCCCAGACUCCUACGGGAGGCAGCAGUGGGGAAUAUUGCACAAUGGGGGAAACCCUGAUGCAGCAACGCCGCGUGAGUGAUGACGGCCUCGGUUGUAAAGGCUCUCGUCUUCUAGGGACGAGUAAUGACGGUA
rnacentral:rRNA from 1 species